rnacentral:rRNA from 1 species
UACGUAGGGGGCUAGCGUUGUCCGGAAUCAUUGGGCGUAAAGCGCGCGUAGGCGGCCAGAUAAGUCCGGUGUGAAAGCCACAGGCUCAACCUGUGAAUGCCGCUGGAAACUGUCUGGCUAGAGUCCGGGAGGGGCGAGUGGAAUUCCUGGUGUAGCGGUGAAAUGCGCAGAUAUCAGGAGGAACACCAAUGGCGAAGGCAGCUCGCUGGAACGGAACUGACGCUGAGACGCGAAAGCGUGGGGAGCGAACAGG